AUUCUGCCUCCAUGUGCAGAUGGAGCACAGAUCACUAGUGUGCUGACAAGCUGAACUCCAAACAAGGAGAUAAGCUACAUAUGUACUGGCAGCUUUCUGCACAAAAGUACUUCUGAAGCAGAGUGCUGUGUGUGAAAUUGGAACAGGAGCACUUCGCUGUUUGGUGUCACUUGAGACCUGGAUCUCAUCUGUGUGGGAAUGAGGUGGCGACAGCGGCUGCGGCAGAGCGACAGACAGGUUGUGUGCUGGAAAACAAAGAGAGAAUUCUGGCUCGCUGGGCUGGUGUGAAGAAUCACUGCCAUGGGGCUGAGUUAAAGGUGUGCAGGGCGUGCAGGGAGAAGAAAACAGGAGCAGAGUGAGAAGCCAGCUGUGAACAGCGCUGCUGGCUUUUGCUACUGAAUGAGCUCUUCUAGAAAAUGUCAAAGAACAUCCUCAUCAUCUAAAGCCAUUUCUAAAUGAUUACUAAUAUGGCUCAAUUAUCUUUUCCUUCCCUGCACCCAUGUGUUUAAAAUGUGAAAGAAAAUGGUGAGAUGACUGCUAAAGAUGCCUGAUAGUGCAUAUUUGCUUGGAAGUAUAUUUUCAUAUCAAGCAAAUGUCAGUGCAAACACCUGCAAUCUGUAUUGCUUGUAACUGUAAGAAGCAAAUCUAAGUUGGUUCACCACCACCACUUUCUGAAUAAGGCUGCUGCUUCUGUGUGGCUGUUACUACGUGUAUUUUUGCACUUCAAAAUGUGAAGGAAAGCAUGUUGAUUAUUAAAAGCAUUGCUCCUUGUUCCCUCAAAAAAUGAAGUAAAUACUAACGUAUGGUCUUCAGUGAAGAACAAACUGAAUUUCAAUGGAUUUUGAAGGGAAUAUUCUGUCAAAAUUCACUGUUUCUUUACAACUAAUUUGGUUAACACUUAAUUUCAAAGUAAGUGCAGAAUCAAAUUGAAACAUGAUACUGUGGGAAAGACGCUGAAAUCAAUUUAAAGAUUAUUGCAGGUACCACGACUUUGUACUUUUGUUUUUCCUCUCUCUGUUUCCAGCUGAAAACCCUAAGAUCAGUUGUGUUAAUCAGCACAAGAGGAUAAGGGUCUGUGCUGAGCUUUGACCUGAAGCAUAUUAAAUCCAUUAAAUUCAUUCCCUUCUCUGUUGGCUGACACAUUUGUGUAGAAUCUCUUUGCUCUGUGCCUGAGAAAUGUGGAAAAGACACGAGUUGCCCAAGCUGCUCCAUCCUUUGAGCCUGCAGUGAACAACUGCAGGGCCACCACAGAGGCAUGGUUUUGUCUCCCAGUAAUUUCAUGUCACAGUUUGUCCCUGUAAAUGGAAAACAAAAUGGUAUUUCUGAGCAGAUAACAGGUCUGGUCCUUCAGGCUUUCUGGGCCUGAAGAAAAAUCUACUCAUGUCAAUGAAAAUCUGCAAAGUGGUUUCUGUGAGGAAGUGGUUGAGAAAACAGCCUGUGAGGCACUUGCAGAUGUUGCACUCAACAUUUGUACAGAAGGCAGGAAAAAAUUAGCAGUCAAAAACUGAAAGUUACAAUAUUUGGUGUGGAUAUUUUUGUUAUCAAUUUAAAUAAUUUUCUUUCAAUUUCUUCUUAAUUUUUGUGUAACAAAAAAAACACGAAAUACUUAAAAAUGUAGUUCCUUCUAAAAGAAAAAAAAAAGGAUGUAUUUAUUAUGUAACUUACUUGAUGUCUUGUUACUGCUGGUCUAUUGUGUUGCAGGAACUGGAAUAUAAUCAAAGAGCUAUAGUGCGUUGGAUGUAACUUAUAAACUUUGGACAUUAAUCAGUA